rnacentral:sRNA from 1 species
AAACCUAACACUUUCUACCAAGCUUAAUCGAAAAUAGACCUCACAAACACUCACAAGUGAUAUAUGGCUUGAAAGAAGGCUUAGGUUAGGGUAUGGGGAAACUGCUCUAAAGAUGAGAGACAGCUAUUUGGAUCAACAAGAGUGGUGAAAUGAAUAAGAAGAUCCAAAUAUUUUAAGGGUGACCAUGAGUUUAACAAACAAUGCAUAGUAUGAUAAUUACAAGUCAAAUUAAGGUUCAAAUUGAUAGGGAAUAGCUUCAAAUCACAGCGAGUUUC